rnacentral:rRNA from 1 species
UUGGAGGGCAAGUCUGGUGCCAGCAGCCGCGGUAAUUCCAGCUCCAAUAGCGUAUAUUAAAGUUGUUGCAGUUAAAAAGCUCGUAGUUGAACUUCGGGGUUCACCCAUUGGUCAGGCUUAAUUGUCUGUACUGGUGAGAUGAGUCUCUACCUUCUGAGGAACUUUCAUGCCAUUUAUUUGGUGUGGUUGGAAAUCAGGACUGUUACUUUGAAAAAAUUAGAGUGUUUAAGGCAGGCUCACGCUUGAAUACAUUAGCAUGGAAUAAUGAAAUAGGACAUCCGAUUCUAUUUUGUUGGUUUCUAGGAUCGAUGUAAUGAUUAAUAGGGAUAGUUGGGGGCAUUAGUAUUCAAUUGUCAGAGGUGAAAUUCUUGGAUUUAUUGAAGACUAACUACUGCGAAAGCAUUUGCCAAGGAUGUUUUCAUUAAUCAAGAACGAAAGUUAGGGGAUCGAAGACGAUCAGAUACCGUCGUAGUCUUAACCAUAAACUAUGCCGACUAGGGAUCGGAUGAUGUUAAUUUUUUAAUGACUCAUUCGGCGCCUUAUGGGAAACCAAAG